UAAUCGGAAUUACUGGGCGUAAAGCGUGCGCAGGCGGUUUUGUAAGACAGUGGUGAAAUCCCCGGGCUCAACCUGGGAACUGCCAUUGUGACUGCAAGGCUAGAGUGCGGCAGAGGGGGGUGGAAUUCCGCGUGUAGCAGUGAAAUGCGUAGAUAUGCGGAGGAACACCGAUGGCGAAGGCAAUCCCCUGGGCCUGCACUGACGCUCAUGCACGAAAGCGUGGGGAGCAAACAGGAUUAGAUACCCUGGUAGUCAAGGGCG
rnacentral:rRNA from 1 species